CCCUUAGAUGUUCUGGGCCGCACGCACGCUACACUGACGAAUGCAACGAGCUUAUAACCUUGGCCGAAAGGUCUGGGUAAUCUCCAAAUUUCGUCGUGAUGGGGAUAGAUUAUUGCAAUUAUUAAUCUUCAACGAGGAAUGCCUAGUAAGCGCAAGUCAUCAGCUUGCGUUGAUUACGUCCCUGCCCUUUGUACACACCGCCCGUCGCUCCUACCGAUUGAAUGGUCCGGUGAAGCGCUCGGACCGCGGCCUCUUGACGGUUUUCCGUCGAUUGGCUGUGGGAAGUUCGUUAAACCUUAUCAUUUAGAGGAAGGAGAAGUCGUANCA
rnacentral:rRNA from 1 species